rnacentral:rRNA from 1 species
UAAGACCAAAGCGCAACUAAGCUGUUAUAAGCUCAAGAUGUGUCUAAGACCCCCCUCAAAAUGAUCUUAGCGCUUCUGAUUUAUUUAAGCCCACGAAAGCUAAGACACAAACUGGGAUUAGAUACCCCACUAUGCUUAGCCCUAAAUCUCGAUGCCUUCCCACUACUAAAGCAUCCGCCCGAGAACUACGAGCACAAACGCUUAAAACUCUAAGGACUUGGCGGUGCCCCAAACCCACCUAGAGGAGCCUGUUCUAUAAUCGAUAACCCACGUUACACCCGACCGCUCCUUGCCUAAAGGCAGCCUACAUACCGCCGUCGCCAGCUCACCUCAUCUGAGAGGUCAAUAGUGAGCACAAUAGCCCAAACCCGCUAACAAGACAGGUCGAGGUAUAGCCCACGGAGCGGAAGAAAUGGGCUACAUUUUCUAAAAUAGAAAACCUACGGAAGGGGGUGUGAAACCGCCCCCCGAAGGCGGAUUUAGUAGUAAAGCGGGACCAUGUAAGCCCCCUUUAAAUCGGCCCUGGGGCACGUACAUACCGCCCGUCACCCUCC